UACGUAGGGUGCAAGCGUUGUCCGGAAUUAUUGGGCGUAAAGAGCUCGUAGGCGGUCUGUCGCGUCGGCUGUGAAAUCCCGAGGCUCAACCUCGGGUCUGCAGUCGAUACGGGCAAACUAGAGUAUUGCAGGGGAGACUGGAAUUCCUGGUGUAGCGGUGAAAUGCGCAGAUAUCAGGAGGAACACCGGUGGCGAAGGCGGGUCUCUGGGCAGUUCCUGACGCUGAGGAGCGAAAGCAUGGGGAGCGAACAGG
rnacentral:rRNA from 1 species